rnacentral:rRNA from 1 species
GCAGGCUUAACACAUGCAAGUCGAGGGGUAGAAGUCUUCGGGCUUUGAGACCGGCGCACGGGUGCGUAACGCGUAUGCAAUCUGCCUUUCACAGAGGGAUAGCCCAGAGAAAUUUGGAUUAAUACCUCAUAGUAUUAUAGAGCGGCAUCACUUUAUAAUUAAAGUCACAACGGUGAAAGAUGAGCAUGCGUCCCAUUAGCUAGUUGGUAAGGUAACGGCUUACCAAGGCGACGAUGGGUAGGGGUCCUGAGAGGGAGAUCCCCCACACUGGUACUGAGACACGGACCAGACUCCUACGGGAGGCAGCAGUGAGGAAUAUUGGUCAAUGGACGCAAGUCUGAACCAGCCAUGCCGCGUGCAGGAUGACGGUCCUAUGGAUUGUAAACUGCUUUUGUACGAGAAGAAACACUCCUAUGUAUAGGAGCUUGACGGUAUCGUAAGAAUAAGGAUCGGCUAACUCCGUGCCAGCAGCCGCGGUAAUACGGAGGAUCCAAGCGUUAUCCGGAAUCAUUGGGUUUAAAGGGUCCGUAGGCGGUUUAGUAAGUCAGUGGUGAAAGCCCAUCGCUCAACGGUGGAACGGCCAUUGAUACUGCUGAACUUGAAUUACUGGGAAGUAACUAGAAUAUGUAGUGUAGCGGUGAAAUGCUUAGAUAUUACAUGGAAUACCAAUUGCGAAGGCAGGUUACUACCAGUUAUG